AUGCCCCUCCUUUUGAAUUCUAAUAUUUUGAGGGUUGGGAAUGGUAAAGAUAUUAAUGCUUUGAGUGAUAGUUGGGUGGAACCGGGAAGGGGCAUUAACGAGUAUAAUCUAAAUAUUCCUUGCAAGCUGAGGAAUGCUAAACUCAAUGUAGAUGGAGCUUGUGGUGCAGGUGGUAUUGUCGGAUGUGGAGGCGUUAUUCAGAAUGAUCAAGUGAUAAUUCAAUUCUGGGUCGGUUUCAAUUUCGUCAAAAUUGAAUUUUUAUGUCAGGUUUUAAGGUUUCAAUGA